UACGUAGGGUGCAAGCGUUGUCCGGAAUUAUUGGGCGUAAAGAGCUCGUAGGCGGCUCGUCGCGUCGUCCGUGAAAACCCGCGGCUUAACCGCGGGCUUGCGGUUGAUACGGGCGGGCUAGAGUUCGGUAGGGGAGACUGGAAUUCCUGGUGUAGCGGUGAAAUGCGCAGAUAUCAGGAGGAACACCGGUGGCGAAGGCGGGUCUCUGGGCCGAUACUGACGCUGAGGAGCGAAAGCGUGGGGAGCGAACAGG
rnacentral:rRNA from 1 species